rnacentral:lncRNA from 10 species
GUGGAGACACAGCCAAACCAUAUCCCUUUUAUAUGAAAAUCCAGGUGGGCAGAUUUUUCUCUCAGCAGCUGUUCCCUGCAGAGUCUCCUUGCAGAGCCUUUCCUUGGACUUUCCAAAUCCAGCCCUUGGCUAAGGACUGACAGCAUCUCUCAGGCAGACCACUGCCUGCCCCUACCCUGUGCAGCUUCCUCCCACACAGCCUCACCCACAAACCCACCUUUCUCCACAGCCACAAACUCCGAUCUCUGCCUUCUUAGAGCAGAGAGGCCAUUCCUCUCCACGUGGUCUCACCUCCCUGCACCCUAACUGAAACCUGGGAGUGAGGGGAAAGAGGAGCUCAGGUCAUGUGCCUCCCGCCUCUCAAGGAUGGCAGCCUUGCGCUGGCUGUAGCAGAAUACCGGAAAAGAUCUGCCUAAGGCCAUAUUAUUUCAUUUCCACUCCACAAAUCCAACAUAGUUAAUUGGGUUUGAUAUUAAUGAGCUUGUACAGCUAAAACAUGGAAAUAUAAUAACUACUGUUGAUCGAUCUUUCAGCCCCGUCACGAAGGGCCCUCGUAACUGGACCUCAUGCCAAACAACUCGUUACAAAAAGAGCUAGGGUCUCAGACCACGCAGAAGCUUCAUGAGACCCCUCCUUGUCUGCAUGGACAAGUGGUCGACUCUGGAUCCCAAGAUGUUGCUUCCCAGUUUGGUGGUGAAUCCUCCAUAGUCUGCUAACUGAAAGGCUCAACACUCCAGUGAAGAAGAAACCACAAAUGAUGAACAAAUGUUUUGUCACUCUUUCAGAUUCAGAAAUUUUGCUUGAAAAAAGUCUGAAGAAACUAAUUUAGGAAAGAAACCUCUGCCAAUAACUCUAAAGAGUUUGAAUUGGUUGCCUUUAUUCCUAACACUAUGAUGUUUUGGGAUAGGAACUAGUAGAUGGUAUUUUUUCUUUCCCAUUGGCAGUAUAUCAUUUACAACAGAUGUUCCCGACUCAGGAUAAAAUGUAACUGGCAGCCAGAGUCACCCACCAGCCCCUGAGGAAAGGGCUCAACCUUGAGAACAUCUGGCUGGCUUCAAGAAGGUCACACAAAUACAAGAUGAUGCUGAGGAUAAGACAAGUGGUUUUGAGAGAGGAAAACCUUUAAAAAUAUUUGGAAGAGUCCUGAAGACCAAUAAAAUAAAGACACUGCAAUACUUCAUGGACACCAGAGAGCAAUUUAACACUGAAAUGAAAGCAACAUGUUGCACCUGAACACUGAAAAAAGCCCAUGUGUUAAGAGGAAGAAGAAAUAUGCAAUUCACUGCAAUAAAUAUUGAACCUUUAAAAAACAGAAGGAACAUGAAAACUAAAGGACACUGGGCCACAGCAAAUAAGGUGGCGGCAGCCAUCCCAUAAUGAUUACAUGAUCUCCAUGAUUGUAAAAUGUAUAUGCCACCUGAAUUUAUUCUUAGACCUUCUCUCAAAGAUGUCUGCAUUCAACACAGGCAAUAACUGCAGGUAAUAGUGAAGAAUCCUUCAGGCAUGAUAGAGGAACAGACUAAGUGUGGGAAAAGGAAGAACUAGGCCGGGCGCGGUGGCUCACGCCUGUAAUCCCAGCACUUUGGGAGGCCGAGGCGGGCGGA